rnacentral:rRNA from 1 species
ACGCUUGAAGUCAGUCGCGUCGACCGAGACUCAGCCUUGCCUUGGCUUGGUGUACUUCUCGGCCCGACGGGUCAGCGUCAAUUUUGCCCCUCGGAUAAUGGCAAGGGAAAGGUGGCACCUUUACGGGUGUGUUAUAGUCUCCUGUCGCAUGCGAGGGGUGGGAUUGAGGAACUCAGCGCGCACCUUUGGUGUCGGGGCUUCUGCCCACGUCACGCGCUUAGGAUGCUGGCGUAAUGGCUUUAAACGACCCGUCUUGAAACACGGACCAAGGAGUC